CCGACCGCUAUUGGGAUGGGAUUAAGCCAUGCAAGUUGAGCGAUCUUAGCUGAGAGAUAGCAGCGAAAAGCUCUGUAACGCGUAGUUAACCUGACCUCGGGUCAGGGACACCCUCGGGAAACUGAGGAUAAUCCCUGAUAGAUGAUUUGGUCUGGAAUGAUAUAUCAUCCAAAGUUGUUAUUUCAUGCAAUAAUGAUGCCCGAGGAUGGGACUGCGUCUGAUUAGGUAGAUGGUGGGGUAAAGGCCCACCAUGCCGAUAAUCAGUACGGGCUGUGAGAGCAGUAGCCCGGAGAUGGAGACUGAGACAACGCUCCAGGUCCUACGGGGCGCAGCAGGCGCGAAACCUCCGCGAUGCACGAAAGUGUGACGGGGCCAUCCCAAGUGCUUGGAGAUAAUUCAAGCUUUUGCCUAGUGUAAAUAGCUAGGCGAAUAAGGGGAGGGCAAGGCUGGUGCCAGCCGCCGCGGUAAAACCAGCUCCUCGAGUAGUCGGGAGGAUUACUGGGCCUAAAGCGUCCGUAGCCGGAUUCGUAAGUUCCUGGUCAAAUUCAGCGGCUUAACCGUUGAUCUGCUGGGGAUACUGCGAAUCUUGGGAACGAGAGAGGCCAAGGGUACUUACGGGGUAGGGGUGAAAUCCUGUAAUCCCGUAGGGACCACCGGUGGCGAAGGCGCUUGGCUGGAACGUGUCCGACGGUGAGGGACGAAAGCCAGGGGAGCGAACCGGAUUAGAUACCCGGGUAGUCCUGGCUGUAAACGAUGCGGGCUAGGUGUUUGUGCGCCUACGGGGUGCGCAAGUGCCGUAGAGAAGUCGUUAAGCCCGCCGCCUGGGGAGUACGGCCGCAAGGCUGAAACUUAA
rnacentral:rRNA from 1 species